UCAAGUGACUAAGAGCAUGUGGUGGAUGCCUUGGCGAUGAUAGGCGACGAAAGACGUGAAAGCCUGCGAUAAGCUUCGGGGAGCUGGCAAAUAAGCAUUGAUCCGGAGAUUUCUGAAUGGGGAAACCCACCUGCAAAGGUAUCGCACUCUGAAUACAUAGGGGUGCGAGGCGAACCGGGUGAACUGAAACAUCUCAGUAGCUCGAGGAAAAGACAUCAACCGAGAUUCCGAAAGUAGUGGCGAGCGAAAUCGGAGAAGCCUGUUAGUGAUAGCACGAUCUUUAGCAAAGCGGUCUGGAAAGGCCGACCAUAGUGGGUGAUAGUCCCGUAUGCGAAAAGGAACGUGUGGUACUGAGCUAGCGAAAAGUAGGGCGGGACACGAGAAAUCCUGUCUGAAUAUGGGGGGACCAUCCUCCAAGGCUAAAUACUCAUCAUCGACCGAUAGUGAACAAGUACCGUGAGGGAAAGGCGAAAAGAACCCCGGGAGGGGAGUGAAAUAGAUCCUGAAACCGCAUGCUUACAAAAAGUCGGAGCCCGCAAGGGUGACGGCGUACCUUUUGUAUAAUGGGUCAGCGACUUACAUUCAGUGGCAAGCUUAACCGAGUAGGGAAGGCGUAGGGAAACCGAGUCCGAACAGGGCGAUUCAGUCGCUGGGUGUAGACCCGAAACCAAGUGAUCUAUCCAUGGCCAGGAUGAAGGUGCCGUAACAGGUACUGGAGGUCCGAACCGACUGGUGUUGCAAAACCAGCGGAUGAGCUGUGGAUAGGGGUGAAAGGCUAAACAAACUUGGAAAUAGCUGGUUCUCUCCGAAAACUAUUUAGGUAGUGCCUCACGUAUUACCUUCGGGGGUAGAGCACUGUUUUGGCUAGGGGGUCAUGGCGACUUACCAAACCAAGGCAAACUCCGAAUACCGAAGAGUACAGCGUGGGAGACAGAGCACCGGGUGCUAACGUCCGGACUCAAGAGGGAAACAACCCAGACCGCCAGCUAAGGUCCCUAAAAUUGGCUAAGUGGGAAACGAAGUGGGAAGGCUAAAACAGUCAGGAUGUUGGCUUAGAAGCAGCCAUCAUUUAAAGAAAGCGUAAUAGCUCACUGAUCGAGUCGUCCUGCGCGGAAGAUGUAACGGGGCUAAGCCAGUUACCGAAGCUGCGGAUUCACAGUUUACUGUGAGUGGUAGGAGAGCGUUCUGUAAGCCUGUGAAGGUGGCUUGUAAAGGCUGCUGGAGGUAUCAGAAGUGCGAAUGCUGACAUGAGUAGCGUUAAAGCGGGUGAAAAGCCCGCUCGCCGUAAGCGCAAGGUUUCCUACGCAACGUUCAUCGGCGUAGGGUGAGUCGGCCCCUAAGGCGAGGCAGAGAUGCGUAGCUGAUGGGAAGCAGGUCAAUAUUCCUGCACCGAUUGCAAGUGCGAUGUGGGGACGGAUCUUAAUAGGUUAUCCGGGUGUUGGAUGUCCCGGUUUAGGCAGAAGUAGGCGAUGGGUAGGCAAAUCCGCCCGUCAUAUACCGAGGCUGUCGAUCGAGCGAGCUUGCUCGCGAAGUAACUGAACGAGGUCCCAGGAAAAGCCACUAAGCUUCAGCUUGCAAUUGACCGUACCGCAAACCGACACUGGUGCGCGAGAUGAGUAUUCUAAGGCGCUUGAGAGAACUCGGGAGAAGGAACUCGGCAAAUUGACACCGUAACUUCGGAAGAAGGUGUGCCCUAGUAGUGUGAUGAGAACAUCUGAGCAUGAAUGGGUUGCAAAAAAUAGGUGGCUGCGACUGUUUAUUAAAAACACAGCACUCUGCAAACACGAAAGUGGACGUAUAGGGUGUGACGCCUGCCCGGUGCUGGAAGAUUAAUUGAUGGGGUGCAAGCUCUUGAUCGAAGUCCCAGUAAACGGCGGCCGUAACUAUAACGGUCCUAAGGUAGCGAAAUUCCUUGUCGGGUAAGUUCCGACCUGCACGAAUGGCGUAACGAUGGCCACACUGUCUCCUCCCGAGACUCAGCGAAGUUGAAAUGUUUGUGAUGAUGCAAUCUCCCCGCGGAAAGACGGAAAGACCCCAUGAACCUUUACUGUAGCUUUGUAUUGGACUUUGAACGGAUCUGUGUAGGAUAGGUGGGAGGCUUUGAAGUGCGGUCGCUAGAUCGCAUGGAGCCGACGUUGAAAUACCACCCUGGUGUGUUUGAGGUUCUAACCUAGGUCCCUUAUCGGGAUCGGGGACAGUGC
rnacentral:rRNA from 1 species